rnacentral:rRNA from 1 species
CGGCGGACGGGUGAGUAACACGUGGAUAACCUACCUAUAAGACUGGGAUAACUUCGGGAAACCGGAGCUAAUACCGGAUAAUAUAUUGAACCGCAUGGUUCAAUAGUGAAAGACGGUUUUGCUGUCACUUAUAGAUGGAUCCGCGCCGCAUUAGCUAGUUGGUAAGGUAACGGCUUACCAAGGCAACGAUGCGUGCCGACCUGAGAGGGUGAUCGGCCACACUGGAACUGAGACACGGUCCAGACUCCUACGGGAGGCAGCAGGC